rnacentral:rRNA from 1 species
AUAAACGCUGGCGGCAUGCCUAAUACAUGCAAGUCGAACGGACGCAGUAAUGCGUUAGUGGCGAACGGGUGAGUAACACGUAAGUAACCUAACCCAAGGACGAGGAUAACUACUGGAAACGGUAGCUAAAACUGGAUAGGAUACGACUUCAAAUGGGGACGUAUUUAAAGGCGCUGAAAGGCGGUGCCAUGGGAGGGGCUUGCGGCGCAUUAGAUAGUUGGGGAGGUAACGGCUCACCAAGUCAACGAUGCGUAGCUGGGCUGAGAGGCCGAACAGCCACACUGGGACUGAGACACGGCCCAG